CCUACGGGGGGCAGCAGUGGGGAAUAUUGCACAAUGGGGGAAACCCUGAUGCAGCGACGCCGCGUGAGUGAAGAAGUACUUCGUUACGUAAAGCUCUAUCAGCAGGGAAGAAACACUGACCUUACGGUCAGCAGACGGUACCUGAGUACGAAGCGCCGGCUCACUACGUGCCAGCAGCCGCGGUAAUACGUAGGGGGCAAGCGUUAUCUGGAUUUACGGGGUGUAAAGGGAGGGUAGACGGUGCGCCAAGUCUGGAGUGAACUGGCGCAGUUUAACUGCGGAACUGCUUUGGAAACUGUCGAACGAGAGUGCAGGAGGGGUAAGCGGAAGUCCUAGCGUAGCGGUGGAAUGCGUAGAUAUUAGGAGGAACACCGGUGGCGAAGGCGGCUUACUGGACCGUAACUGACGUUGAGGCUCGAAAGCGUGGGGAGCAAACAGGAUUAGAUACCCCGGUAGUC
rnacentral:rRNA from 1 species